CAUUCAAAUUGUUCUCCCUGUGGCUUCCGUAUCGGGAGCUCCGCUUUUAUAUAUAUUAUCAUAUCGGUUAUCAAUGAUUUACGAGUAAGCUGUAGAAUGUAUUGAUAACGUACCAAAGUGGAGUAGAAUGAUGUGAUGGUCACCGAGGCUGUAGCAGACGUUAAUGGCUGUGGAUAGUUGGGUAAGUACUGAAACACUUUUGUUACUCACAUGCAUUUGGGAAGGUACCUUUUAUAAUGGGGGAGAGAGGGCUGCAGGAUUCGCAGUAAACCUUUUUUAGAUUGUAGCCCUCGCCUUUUUAUUCAGUAAGAAAUAUAUGACCCUCCUAUAGAGUUAACAAGGAAAAAUCUUUCGUCAGAAAAUAAAAAUGUUUGACAUGACAAAAACGUUAUUUUGUUUUACUAUUGACCCUCCCCUCUGAAGCCCAAGCCCUCCCCCAAUGAAAGAUGUAUCUUCAUUCGUUAAUCAGUUCGUUUUAUUUCGUGAACUGUCCAUUUAUUGGUGCAAGUCUUUCAUCUCCAGUCAUCUCAUUUAUCCUUCUUGUGUUAGUUGUCCAAUCGAUUCAUUCACUCAUUCAACGCACAGUGGAUCUAGCCCUCCAUCUCUUUCUUCUUUUCUUUUUUCUUUCACUCCCAUUCGUUCUUCUAUUAAUUUUUCAUUCAUUUAUUCAAUCGUUUGCUUUUUUAUUCACCCAUCCAUUUCUUAUUUCGCUUUGUUUUUGCAUUCUUUUCUUUUUCCACACAAGAGGCCCAUAAGUGCAAAGACAACAGUGAUGAACAACUAAAGUAAAGAUGAUGACGUCACAACAGUUGAAUUACGUCACUAAACUGUGCUCAGAAUAAUGCAGACAGACAGACAGACAGACAGAGCUAUAACUAAAUAAGUAUAUUCGAAUAGUUAGUUAAGUAGUCAGUCAUCAGUUAAUCUAUAAAUGUAUAUAUUACUGAAGUAUAUAAUUAGAGAUGUAAAUAUGAAUAUAAAUCAAUAACUACAAUUUUAUGUACCAAUGAAGACACAUAUAAAUACAAAAAUAAAUAUAA